GUCGGCGAGCCCGCGGUGGGGGUCCCCGCGCCGCCCAGGCCUACCCCGGCUCCUUGGGAUAGAUGGGGAAGCUGAGGCCCAGAAGGGGGCUGAGACCACCUCCCAGUUUCCCCAGUGAGGUGGCGCCUGAGCCACGGCCAGGCCCGGCCUCCUUCCACCCGGCCCUGCUGUGCGCGCGGCGGGUGCUGACCUGGCGAGGCCGGACAGGGGACCAGGUCGGGGUGACCGUCACUGACACCUGGACAGUCCUCGUUGUGUUCGGGGUGGGAAGCCCACGGAUCUUCAGAGGGAAGGCACCAGGAGUGGACUGCGGGACACCCAGAGUGGACUGCAGGAGGACACAGAAGCUAGGCUGAAGCGGGAGGAAGCUGGGAACCCUGCACGGGGCCACUGCGCACUGGGACUCGUUACUGGUCCCCAAGACUCAGGGAGAAUGGGUGAGUUGAACUGGCAAGGAGGAGCCCACUGUCAUUACGGGCCUCUGGAAUCCCGGCAGGAGGAGAUUAACCACAUGGACAUUCGAGGUGGCAGAGAGAGCUGCCUAGAGAAGGUGCGGGGGCAGCAGCCAGCUGAGGCAGAGCCCGGAGGGUUUGGUGCAGGAGCGUCUGUAGUGGAGGGCCAUCCCCCAGGCUCAAAUUCCUCCCAUAGGAGAUUUUAGCCCUAGGGGAGCUGUUGUAUGUGAUCUUUGUGGGGUGGUCUUGCCCAUCAGAUGGGGCCAGUCUGACCCGAGCAUGCCUUGGUCUGCUGGCCUCUCCCAGGGCCCCGGCCUGGCCACGCCUGCUUGCAGGGCAGCUCUGGGUGCCCUGGGGGCCUGCAGCAUAGCUUCUGCACUGGCAGACCAUGCCUGAUUGGUGGAGAGCUCCAGCAGGGCAGCCCCCACAUCCCUGUGCCAGCCUGCCCACUGCCUCCCACACUGUAGCUUCUCCAGGGCCCACUGUCACCCCCCAUCUUGCUUUUGCCAGUGCAUGUCUGUGCAGGUGGGUUUUGCUUUCCUUGCCCGCCAGUGUACCUGUGUGUUUGCACCCUGCCCUGCCAUUGCUGUGGCAGGAGUACCGUUUGCCCAACGCCCCCUGCUGACUGCCAUUGCAGUUGGAGCCUUGGCAGACACAGAGCCAGCCAGCCCCACCUCCCUUGCACCCCACUCUUGCACCAACACUGUUGCGGGAGUGAAACUAGGCACGGAAUAGGGACCACCCUGCCUGUGGGGCACAAAGAAUGCCACAGGCCUGGGCCUGCCGGUGCUCCACCUCCAUCCCAACACCACCGCCAGCAUGGCUGUUGCCAGCAGGGGGCCCUGCCCCCCAGGUGCUUUCGUCUGCCACUGUGGUGAACACCUGCACAGAGGCAGGCACCCCAGCACUUGCUAGCACCCUGCCACAGCCGAUGAACGUGCACCCUGUGCUGCUGCCACCACGGCUGCUGGCAUGUGCAAGCAAGAAUGGAUCCCGCUGCCACUGCACUGCAAAAUGCACUGGCUGGCACCACCUAUCAGAGUGUAGUGACCGGUAGUGAGGAGCACCUUGAUCCCUCAGUGCAGUUGAUUCCUAACCUCCGGGAGCCAGAGAACAAAGUUGGUGCCUGAUACAAGUACCCCAGUUAGAGCACACAGUCUGGGAGUUGGGAACUGAGCCUUGGCCCCCUAAAAUCAUCCAGAAACAAAGCCAGUCAGCUGAAUCCAACUUAUACUACAAUCAAAUCCUCAAGGUCAUCAAAUAGGAUAAAAGAAAAAAAAA
rnacentral:lncRNA from 1 species